rnacentral:rRNA from 1 species
CAGUAGCCGCGGUAAUACGAAGGUCCCGAGCGUUGUUCGGAAUCACUGGGCGUAAAGGGAGCGUAGGCGGCGUGGUAAGUCAGAUGUGAAAUCCCGGGGCUCAACCCCGGAACUGCAUCCGAUACAGCCAUGCUAGAGGAUUGGAGAGGUAGCUGGAAUUCUUGGUGUAGCAGUGAAAUGCGUGGAGAUCAAGAGGAACACUCGUGGCGAAAGCGAGCUACUGGACAAUAACUGACGCUGAGGCUCGAAGGCCAGGGUAGCGAAAGGGAUUAGAUACCCCGGUAGUCCCUGUCUCUUAUAC